GACGAACGCUGGCGGCGUGCUUAACACAUGCAAGUCGAGCGAGGCCCCUCCUUCGGGAGGGUGUCCUAGCGGCGAACGGGUGAGUAACACGUGGGCAACCUGCCCUCAGCUCUGGGAUAACUCCGGGAAACCGGGGCUAAUACCGGAUACGACCUCCACGGGCAUCUGCGGAGGUGGAAAGUUUUUCGGCAGGGGAUGGGCCCGCGGCCUAUCAGCUAGUUGGUGGGGUAGUGGCCCACCAAGGCGACGACGGGUAGCCGGCCUGGGAGGGCGACCGGCCACACGGGGACUGAGAGACGGCCCAGACUCCUACGGGAGGCAGCAGUGGGGAAUAUUGCGCAAUGGGCGAAAGCCUGACGCAGCGACGCCGCGUGAGGGACGAAGGCCUUCGGGUUGUAAACCUCUUUCAGCAGGGACGAAGCGAAAGUGACGGUACCUGCAGAAGAAGCACCGGCCAACUACGUG
rnacentral:rRNA from 1 species